rnacentral:rRNA from 1 species
UCCGUGACGGCGUGCCUUUUGCAUAAUGAGCCUACGAGUUACCGUUGCUAGCAAGGUUAAGUACUUAAGGUACGGAUCCGUAGCGAAAGCGAGUCUGAACAGGGCGCUUUAGUUAGUAGUGGUAGACGCGAAACCGUGUGAUCUACCCAUGGGCAGGGUGAAGCUGUGGUAACACACAGUGGAGGCCCGAACCGGUUGACGUUGAAAAGUCUUCGGAUGACCUGUGGGUAGGGGUGAAAGGCCAAUCAAACUCGGAAAUAGCUCGUUCUCCCCGAAAUGCUUUUAGGAGCAGCGUUAUGUUAUAGAGUAGUAGAGGUAGAGCUACUGGUUGGAUGCGGGGGCUUCAUCGCCUACCAAAUCCUGUCAAACUCCGAAUGCUACUACUUGUUUCAUAGCAGUGAGGGCAUGGGUGCUAAGGUCCAUGUCCGAGAGGGAAAGAACCCAGACCAUCUGCUAAGGUCCCCAAAUGUAUACUAAGUUGAUCAAACGUGGUCAGACUGCUUAGACAGCUAGGAUGUUGGCUUGGAAGCAGCCAUUCAUUUAAAGAGUGCGUAACAGCUCACUAGUCGAGCGGUCCGGCGUGGAUAAUAAUCGGGCAUAAGUAUACUACCGAAGCAAUGGACAUGAAAAUGUGGUAGGGGAGCAUUCUAGUUGCGCCGAAGGUGAAUCGUGAGGUUUGCUGGAGCGGCUAGAAAAGAAAAUGUAGGAAUGAGUAACGAUAAAGCGGGUGAGAAACCCGCUCGCCGAAAAUCUAAGGUUUCCUCAGCUAUGCUAAUCAGCUGAGGGUUAGUCGCGACCUAAGGCGAACCCGAACGGGGUAGUCGAUGGACAACAGGUUAAUAUUCCUGUACCUGCUCACACUAAAAGUGACGGAGGCGAAUAGUUAGUGCGCACAGACGGAAUUGUGCGUUGAAGGGAACAGUAAUGUCCUGAUAGUACACUAAGACUACGGUCGCGGUGAUAAUCUAGCGAAUCGACUUCCAAGAAAAGCGAGUGAAGCAGCCCGUACCCUAAACCGACACAGGUAGUUGGGAUGAGAAUUCUAAGGUGCUCGAGAGAUUCAUGGCUAAGGAACUAGGCAAAAUAG